UACGAAGGGGGCUAGCGUUGCUCGGAAUUACUGGGCGUAAAGCGUGCGCAGGCGGUGAUGUAAGUCAGAUGUGAAAUCCCCGGGCUCAACCUGGGAACUGCAUUUGUGACUGCAUCGCUGGAGUGCGGCAGAGGGGGAUGGAAUUCCGCGUGUAGCAGUGAAAUGCGUAGAUAUGCGGAGGAACACCGAUGGCGAAGGCAAUCCCCUGGGCCUGCACUGACGCUCAUGCGCGAAAGCGUGGGGAGCAAACAGG
rnacentral:rRNA from 1 species